rnacentral:lncRNA from 1 species
GGAAGAUACUUGAAUCACAGGACUGAAUAAGGAAGAGCUGCCCUCAGCGUGGCCGGGCAACAUCUAAUCGGCUGAAAGCUUGGAUCGAAUGAAAAGGCAGAGGAAAGGUUCUGAAGACCUCAAAUGGACUGAGCCACACUACCAGCAUCCAGCAUCCAUGGUUCUCCAGUCUGCAGAUGGCCUAUUAUGGGACUUUUCAGUCUUCAUAAUUAUAUGAGAGAAAGAAAAUGAAAAGGAUUUGUAAACUAUAAAUCUCUAAACAGAUGGGAGGAAAGGAAUUGAUGAAACAAUAAAUUUAUUGAUGAAACAAUAAAAAUAAACAUAAAGAACCAAAGGGUCUUGCUGUCACUCAGGGUGGAGUGCUGUGGUGUGAUCUCAGCUCACUGCAACUUUCGCCUCCCAGGUUUAAAUGAUUCUCCUGCCUCAGCCUCCUGACUAGCUGGGAUUACAG